CAGCCGCCGCGGUAAUACGAAGGGUGCAAGCGUUAAUCGGAAUUACUGGGCGUAAAGCGUGCGUAGGCGGUUUGUUAAGUCUGCUGUGAAAUCCCCGGGCUCAACCUGGGAAUGGCAGUGGAUACUGGCAAGCUAGAGUGUGUCAGAGGAUGGUGGAAUUCCCGGUGUAGCGGUGAAAUGCGUAGAGAUCGGGAGGAACAUCGGUGGCGAAGGCGGCCAUCUGGGACAACACUGACGCUGAGGCACGAAAGCGUGGGGAGCAAACAGGAUUAGAUACCCCCGUAGUCCCUGUCUCUUAUAC
rnacentral:rRNA from 1 species